UACAGAGGGUGCGAGCGUCAAUCGGAGUUACUGGGCGUAAAGGGCACGUAGGCGGUACUAAAAGAUUGAUGUGAAAGCCCUGGGCUUAACCUAGGAAGCGCAUCGAUGACUGUAGGACUGGAGUAUAUGAGAGGGUGGCGGAAUUUCCGGUGUAGCGGUGAAAUGCGUAGAGAUCGGAAGGAACGUCGAUGGCGAAGGCAGCCACCUGGCAUAAUACUGACGCUGAGGUGCGAAAGCGUGGGUAGCGAACAGG
rnacentral:rRNA from 1 species